GCAUGUUCACAUGAUUAAAGGUAUUCCGGUAGACGAUGGGGAUGCGUUCCAUUAGAUAGUAGGCGGGGUAACGGCCCACCUAGUCUUCGAUGGAUAGGGGUUCUGAGAGGAAGGUCCCCCACAUUGGAACUGAGACACGGUCCAAACUCCUACGGGAGGCAGCAGUGAGGAAUAUUGGUCAAUGGGCGAGAGCCUGAACCAGCCAAGUAGCGUGAAGGAUGACUGCCCUAUGGGUUGUAAACUUCUUUUAUAAAGGAAUAAAGUCGGGUAUGCACACCCGUUUGCAUGUACUUUAUGAAUAAGGAUCGGCUAACUCCGUGCCAGCAGCCGCGGUAAUACGGAGGAUCCGAGCGUUAUCCGGAUUUAUUGGGUUUAAAGGGAGCGUAGAUGGAUGUUUAAGUCAGUUGUGAAAGUUUGCGGCUCAACCGUAAAAUUGCAGUUGAUACUGGAUAUCUUGAGUGCAGUUGAGGCAGGCGGAAUUCGUGGUGUAGCGGUGAAAUGCUUAGAUAUCACGAAGAACUCCGAUUGCGAAGGCAGCCUGCUAAGCUGCAACUGACAUUGAGGCUCGAAAGUGUGGGUAUCAAACAGGAUUAGAUACCCUGGUAGUCCACACGGUAAACGAUGAAUACUCGCUGUUUGCGAUAUACAGCAAGCGGCC
rnacentral:rRNA from 1 species